rnacentral:misc_RNA from 1 species
UCCGUUUUGUCAACGGCAGUCUCAAUAGAGUGCCCGGCCGAACCGCUGGCAACUAUUGAUAAGGGUUGCGCUCGUUGCGGGACUUAACCCAACAUCUCACGACACGAGCUGACGACAGCCAUGCAGCACCUUGCACUCUGUCUGGUUUUACCCAGAAGGCCCUAUCUCUAGGGUUGUCAGAGGCAUUCUAGCCCAGGUAAGGUGGGGAUGACGUUACGGUCUUACU